UGUACAGAAGGAAAGUUUGGAAGAGAGUAAUGCGAAAAGGAGAAUCAUGACUAGCUUGGAUCGAAUUUCUGUUUUGACAGAAGAUGAAGACGUUUUACGACCCGGUACUGCGUUGCAUGCAGUGGACUGUGCCCGAGACGAUUCCCACAGCGCCGGCGAAUAGUCAGCUUGUAAAAAUGGAAUCUGAAUGCUCACAAGAAGGAC